rnacentral:lncRNA from 1 species
GGGUGUUGCCGUGCACUAUGUGUUUGAGAGCAAAAGCACGAAGGGUAAUACUGUGCACUGUAUAUUGAGAGUAAAAGCACGAAGGGUGAUGCUGUGCAUUAUAUUUGAUAUUCUUGGUGAGAAAUGAGGUAAAAAGCAUGAAGGGUGAUGCCGUGCAUUAUAUUUGACCGUUUUGGUGAGGAAUGAGAGUAAAAGCAAGAAGGGUAAUGCCGUUCAGC